CUGCCGCCGGCGACCGGCGCACGGGUGAGUAACACGUAUGCAACCUGCCCGUGGCAGGGGGAUAAGCGGGGGAAACCCCGUCUAAUACCGCGUAACGCGGCCUAGGGACAUCCCAAGGCCGCCAAAGGGAGCAAUCCCGGCCACGGAUGGGCAUGCGGCGCAUUAGCUAGUCGGCGGGGUAACGGCCCACCGAGGCGACGAUGCGUAGGGGUUCUGAGAGGAAGGCCCCCCACACUGGUACUGAGACACGGACCAGACUCCUACGGGAGGCAGCAG
rnacentral:rRNA from 1 species